rnacentral:rRNA from 1 species
GACGAACGCUGGCGGCGUGCUUAACACAUGCAAGUCGAACGGAAAGGCCCUGCUUUUUUGGGGUGCUCGAGUGGCGAACGGGUGAGUAACACGUGAGUAACCUGCCCUUGACUUUGGGAUAACUUCAGGAAACUGGGGCUAAUACCGGAUAGGAGCUCCUGCUGCAUGGUGGGGGUUGGAAAGCUUCGGCGGUUGGGGAUGGACUCGCGGCUUAUCAGCUUGUUGGUGGGGUAGUGGCUUACCAAGGCUUUGACGGGUAGCCGGCCUGAGAGGGUGACCGGCCACAUUGGGACUGCGAUACGGCCCAGAGUCCUACGUGAGGCAGCGGUGGGGAAUAUUGCACAAUGGGGGGAAGCCUGAUGAAGCAACGCCGCGUGCGGGAUGACGGCCUUCGGGUUGUAAACCGCUUUCGCCUGUGACGAAGCGUGAGUGACGGUAAUGGGUAAAGAAGCACCGGCUAACUACGUG